AUUGAACGCUGGCGGCAUGCCUUACACAUGCAAGUCGAACGGUAACGCGGGGCAACCUGGCGACGAGUGGCGAACGGGUGAGUAAUAUAUCGGAACGUGCCCAGUAGUGGGGGAUAGCCCGGCGAAAGCCGGAUUAAUACCGCAUACGAUCUACGGAUGAAAGCGGGGGACCGCAAGGCCUCGCACUAUUGGAGUGGCCGAUGUCGGAUUAGCUAGUUGGUGGGGUAAAAGCUUACCAAGGCGACGAUCCGUAGCUGGUCUGAGAGGACGAUCAGCCACACUGGAACUGAGACACGGUCCAGACUCCUACGGGAGGCUG
rnacentral:rRNA from 1 species